rnacentral:rRNA from 1 species
AUCUACGGCCAUGCUACCCUGAACAAGCCCGAUCCCAUCUGAUCUCAGAAGCUAAGCAGGAUCGGGCCUGGUUAGUACUUGGAUGGGAGACCACCUAGGGAAACCAGGUGCUGUAGGCA